AGAGUGUUGCUGAGGUGGUACCUGUGGGUAUCGUUGAUACUGUCUCUGAGGUUGCUGGUGGUGCCCUUGGUGGGGGCCGUUAAUAAGCCAACAUCCUGAAGAUCAUGCGCCAUGCUGAGGAAGGCUUCCUGCCCCAAUGCAUUUUUGUACUUUCACUUACAAAGCCAAUGAAAUGACAUCAGGGAAAAAUAUUCAAAACAUACGUAUAGCAUUUCAGUCUAUGGAUUUUUUCUACAAUGCUAACUGAUUUUGUU